ACACGUAGGGGGCGAGCGUUAUCCGGAAUCACUGGGCGUAGAGGGCGCGUAGGCGGUUAACCGUGUCAGGUGUGAAAGAUCGGGGCUCAACCCCGGGAUUGCCCCUGAAACUGGUUAACUUGAGGACAGGAGAGGCAAGUGGAAUUCCUGGUGUAGCGGUGAAAUGCGUAGAUAUCAGGAGGAACACCAGUGGCGAAGGCGACUUGCUGGACUGGUUCUGACGCUGAGGCGCGAAAGCGUGGGUAGCAAACAGGAUUAGAUACCCUGGUAGUCCACGCCAUAAACGAUGGGUACUGGGUGUAGGGGGUGUUGAGACCCUCUGUGCCGCAGCGAACGCGUUAAGUACCCCGCCUGGGGAGUACGGCCGCAAGGCUGAA
rnacentral:rRNA from 1 species